rnacentral:rRNA from 1 species
UACGGAGGUGGCGAGCGUUGUCCGAAGUUACUGGGCGUAAAGCGCGCGUAGGCGGGGGAUUAAGUGAGAAGUGAAAGGCUGGGGCUCAACUCCAUGCAGUGCUUCUCAUACUGGUCUUCUUGAGGGGGGUAGAGAGAAGUGGAAUGGCUGGUGUAGCGGUGAAAUGCGCAGAUAUCAGGAGGAACACCGGUGGCGAAGGCGGUGUCCUGGGCCGAUCCUGACGCUGAGGAGCGAAAGCUGGGGGGAGCAAACAGG